CCUACGGGUGGCAGCAGUGAGGAAUAUUGGUCAAUGGACGCAAGUCUGAACCAGCCAAGCCGCGUGAAGGACGACGGCUCUAUGAGUUGUAAACUGCUUUUGUACGGGGAUAAACGCAGAUACGAGUAUCUGUCUGAAAGUAUCUUACGAAUAAGCAUCGGCUAACUCCGUGCCAGCAGCCGCGGUAAUACGGAGGAUUCAAGCGUUAUCCGGAUUUAUUGGGUUUAAAGGGUGCGUAGGCGGUCGGAUAAGUUAGAGGUGAAAUCCCGAGGCUCAACUUCGGAAUUGCCUCUGAUACUGUUCGGCUAGAGAGUAGGAGCGGUAGGCGGAAUGUAUGGUGUAGCGGUGAAAUGCUUAGAGAUCAUGCAGAACACCGAUUGCGAAGGCAGCUUACCAAGCUACAUCUGACGUUGAGGCACGAAAGCGUGGGGAGCAAACAGGAUUAGAUACCCUUGUAGUC
rnacentral:rRNA from 1 species